UAGCCAUCUACUCCUCUGAGAACGAAUGGACCGGCCUGGCCCCUGCUCAGAGGGCCCUGUACAGGGAUGUGAUGCUGGAGGAUUAUGGGGCUGUGGCUUCCCUGGCAUUUCCAUUUCCCAAGCUGGCUCUGAUUUUCCAGCUGGAAUGAGGGGAAGCACCAUGGAGCUUGGCUCCUCAGGGAGCUCUGGAUGGAGAGGGCCCGAAGGGCAUCUCCUCAGGAUAUCCAUUUCUAAAGCCUGCUGGGAUCUCCCAUCUUGAGCAGGUGGAAGAGCCAUUGAAACCGAAACUGCAAGGAGAGGGUCCAAGCCUAAUUUGUACCGGCUCAAACUGAACAGAGGCUUACCUAUCUGGCUGCAGUGGUCAAUCAAUACGUUAAAGCUCCUCAGCCCGUAGCAACUGACCUCUGCUCCCACCAAACUCGUUGAACUGAGGUUACUGCCAGCGCCUGGCUUCCUGGGCUUCGUCAUCUACCGUUGUGAAAUCAGGGCUGAAUUUGCGCUUUAGGCCUCAAAACAAGACAUUUCUGAGAAAAGUGAAUCCCGUGGCUUGGCCUCAGAGGAACAUUAAGAGACCUUCCCCAGGGACCUGCUUUUCAAGUUACCUGUGAAUCAGAGAGCAAGAUAGGCCUUCAGGAAGUCUCAUAAGGGAUGGAAUGAAGAAAAAUAAGAGAGAUUCAGCAAAGGAGGGAGUAAAUAAUGAGAAAAUUCCUAUAAAAAAUAGAUGUCAUGCACAUAAGAAAUCAGAAAAAAAUGUUGGGGUCAGUUCACACAUCUGCAAUUUCCAGGUGUGUAAAGAGUGUGGCAAAGCCUUUAACAUCAACUCAGCGCCAGCAAGUCAGCACUGGAGAGAAACCUUUUAGAUGCAAGGACUACAGCAAGGCCUUCAAGCAAAAAGUCAGCUUAAAUCAAUAUCAAUGGAUCCAAAAGAAAAAAAGAAAAGGAAAGAAAAAAGAAAGAGAAAACCCCAGUAUCAAUGGAUCCACCCUUGGAUGAAGCCCUACAAAUGCAGAGUGUGGGAAAGGCUUCAACAAGAGUUCAGGAUUGAAGCAGCACUGGAGGCUUCAUGUUAGAGAAAAACCCUGUGAAUGUGAGAAAUGUGGGAAAGUCUUCAUUCAGAACUCAAAUUUUAUUCGUCAUUGGAGAAUUCAUCCUGGAGAGAAACUUUUAAAUGUAAUCUUGUUCUGUGUGUCCCCCUAGUGCAGUGGUGAGCUUCUCCAUAGCAGGAUUGGUCAGGAAGAUGGACUGUCCCCAAAGGAGAUGAAUAUAAGGAAUGACCUUGAGAGUGUCUGUCUUUCCUUAGA